GACGAACGCUGGCGGCGUGCCUAAUACAUGCAAGUAGAACGCACAGUUUAUACCGUAGCUUGCUACACCAUAGACUGUGAGUUGCGAACGGGUGAGUAACGCGUAGGUAACCUGCCUGGUAGCGGGGGAUAACUAUUGGAAACGAUAGCUAAUACCGCAUAAUAUUGAUUAUUGCAUGAUAAUUGAUUGAAAGAUGCUAUUGCAUCACUACCAGAUGGACCUGCGUUGUAUUAGCUAGUAGGUGAGGUAACGGCUCACCUAGGCGACGAUACAUAGCCGACCUGAGAGGGUGAUCGGCCACACUGGGACCGAGACACGGCCCAGACUCCUACGGGAGGCAGCAGUAGGGAAUCUUCGGCAAUGGACGAAAGUCUGACCGAGCAACGCCGCGUGAGUGAAGAAGGUUUUCGGAUCGUAAAGCUCUGUUGUAAGAGAAGAACGGGUGUGAGAGUGGAAAGUUCACACUGUGACGGUAUCUUACCAGAAAGGGACGGCUAACUACGUG
rnacentral:rRNA from 1 species